rnacentral:rRNA from 1 species
GCUUUUACGGGACAGAGUUGGGGAAAAGCCCCUGUAUUACGCCCGAAACCAAGUGAUCUACUCAUGGCCAGGAUGAAGGUGCGGUAACACGCACUGGAGGUCCGAACCCACUAACGUUGAAAAGUUAGGGGAUGAGCUGUGGGUAGGGGUGAAAGGCUAAUCAAACUUGGAGAUAGCUGGUUCUCUCCGAAAGCUAUUUAGGUAGUGCCUCAAGUAUCACCACUAGGGGUAGAGCACUGUUAUGGCUAGGGGGUCAUCGCGACUUACCAAACCAUUGCAAACUCCGAAUACUAGUGAGUGCGAGCUUGGGAGACAGACACCGGGUGCUAACGUCCGAUGUCAAGAGGGAAACAACCCAGACCGCCAGCUAAGGUCCCAAAGAUUGGCUAAGUGGAAAACGAAGUGGGAAGGCUAAAACAGUCAGGAGGUUGGCUUAGAAGCAGCCAUCCUUUAAAGAAAGCGUAAUAGCUCACUGAUCGAGUCGUCCUGCGCGGAAGAUGUAACGGGGCUAAGCCGGUCACCGAAGCUGCGGAUAUCCUGUAUGGGAUAUGGUAGGAGAGCGUUCUGUAAGCCUGAGAAGGUGUGUUGAGAAGCAUGCUGGAGGUAUCAGAAGUGCGAAUGCUGACAUAAGUAACGAUAAAGCGGGUGAAAAGCCCGCUCGCCGGAAGACCAAGGGUUCCUGUCCAACGUUAAUCGGGGCAGGGUGAGUCGACCCCUAAGGCGAGGCCGAAAGGCGUAGUCGAUGGGAAACAGGUUAAUAUUCCUGUACUUGGUGUUACUGCGAAGGGGGGACGGAGAAGGCUAUGUUGGCCGGGCGACGGUUGUCCCGGUUUAAGCGUGUAGGCUGGUUUUCCAGGCAAAUCCGGAAAAUCAAGGCUGAGGCGUGAUGACGAGGCACUACGGUGCUGAAGCAACAAAUGCCCUGCUUCCAGGAAAAGCCUCUAAGCAUCAGGUAACAUCAAAUCGUACCCCAAACCGACACAGGUGGUCAGGUAGAGAAUACCAAGGCGCUUGAGAGAACUCGGGUGAAGGAACUAGGCAAAAUGGUGCCGUAACUUCGGGAGAAGGCACGCUGAUAUGUAGGUGAAGUGAUUUACUCAUGGAGCUGAAAUCAGUCGAAGAUACCAGCUGGCUGCAACUGUUUAUUAAAAACACAGCACUCUGCAAACACGAAAGUGGACGUAUAGGGUGUGACGCCUGCCCGGUGCUGGAAGAUUAAAUGAUGGGGUGAGAGCUCUUGAUUGAAGUCCCAGUAAACGGCGGCCGUAACUAUAACGGUCCUAAGGUAGCGAAAUUCCUUGUCGGGUAAGUUCCGACCUGCACGAAUGGCGUAACGAUGGCCACACUGUCUCCUCCCGAGACUCAGCGAAGUUGAAAUGGUUGUGAUGAUGCAAUCUACCCGCGGCUAGACGGGAAGACCCCAUGAACCUUUACUGUAGCUUUACAUUGGACUUUGAACCAAUCUGUGUAGGAUAGGUGGGAGGCUUUGAAGCGUGAACGCUAGUUUGCGUGGAGCCGGCCUUGAAAUACCACCCUGGUUUGUUUGAGGUUCUAACCUUGGCCCGUUAUCCGGGUUGGGGACAGUGUAUGGUAGGCAGUUUGACUGGGGCGGUCUCCUCCAAAAGCGUAACGGAGGAGUUCGAAGGUACGCUAGGUACGGUCGGACAUCGUGCUGAUAGUGCAAUGGCAUAAGCGUGCUUAACUGCGAGACCGACAAGUCGAGCAGGUACGAAAGUAGGACAUAGUGAUCCGGUGGUUCUGUAUGGAAGGGCCAUCGCUCAACGGAUAAAAGGUACUCCGGGGAUAACAGGCUGAUUCCUCCCAAGAGUUCAUAUCGA